UACGAAGGGGGCUAGCGUUGCUCGGAAUCACUGGGCGUAAAGGGUGCGUAGGCGGGCCUUUAAGUCAGGGGGGAAAUCCUGGAGCUCAACUCCAGAACUGCCUUUGAUACUGAAGAUCUUGAGUUCGGGAGAGGUGAGUGGAACUGCGAGUGUAGAGGUGAAAUUCGUAGAUAUUCGCAAGAACACCAGUGGCGAAGGCGGCUAUCUGGACGGUUUCUGACACUAAGACUCGAAAGCGUGGGGAGCAAACAGG
rnacentral:rRNA from 1 species